rnacentral:rRNA from 1 species
UACAGAGGUCUCGAGCGUUAGGCGGAAUCACUGGGCUUAAAGCGUGUGUAGGCGGAUCGUUAAGUGCCUUGUGAAAUCCCACGGCUUAACCGUGGAACUGCUUGGCAUACUGGCGGUCUUGAGCCACUUAGGGGCAACCGGAACAAACGGUGGAGCGGUGAAAUGCGUAGAUAUCGUUUGGAACGCCAAUGGUGAAAACAGGUUGACUGGGAGUGUGCUGACGCUGAGACACGAAAGCCAGGGGAGCAAACGGG